rnacentral:lncRNA from 1 species
UCCUUCCUUCCUUGCCUUCCGUCAGUCACCCAGGAACAGUCACGGAGGGUGGAACUCUUCUGCUCCGGUAAUCCUGUUGUAAUUGUAGCCUUGGGCGGACUCAACCAGAAGACUUGUACCUUGGGGUCGUUCAACCUCGGGAAGGAGUUGGAUACCUUACAGAAGAAUUAUUGUAAACUGAAAAGGAAUGCCGGAGAAGAGUAUACAUUAGGAAGAAAGGUUACAGGAAAGGGUGAUCAUGUACCAGGACGACUCCAAGCUGCCAGCUGACAAUAAACAGAUCUCGGUGUCAAGACUACGAACGGUGGAGGCAGGACGAGAGACGGUGGGUGAGUGGAGCGCCUACAGUGGUCAUGUGCUGCCUCCCGCUGUGUGCACCGUCCGGGGCGUCACUGUUUCCGAGGCUGCCAAGGAAGGAACAGAACCUCGUGAGAUGAUUAGAAAAGACAAGCA